rnacentral:tRNA from 1 species
CAAGGUAUAGCUCAGUGGUAGAGCUUAGUAUGCAGGAGGUCCUGGGUUCAAUCCCCAGUACCUCCA